AGACGAACGGUUGAAAGUAGCCUUGCUACUUUUGAGAGCGGCGGACGGGCCCAUUAUGCGUGGGAAUCUACCUGGUAGUGGGGGACAACAGUUGGAAACGACUGCUAAUACCGCAUACGCCCUACGGGGGAAAGCGGGGGAUCUUCGGACCUCGUGCUAUCAGAUGAGCCCGCGUGAGAUUACCUAGUUGGUGGGGUAAAGGCCUACCAAGGCGACCAUCUCUAUCUGGUCUGAGAGGAUGAUCAGCCACCCUGGGACUGAGACACGGCCCACACCCCUACUGCAGGCAGCAUUGGGGAAUAUUGGACAAUGGGCGCUAGCCUGAUCCAUCCUUGCCCCGUGUGUGAAAAAGGCCCUCCGGUUGUAAAGACCUCUUCCCCAGGAGGAAAGGUUGUAGCUUAAUACCCUGCAUCUGUGACCCUUACUCCGACAAAAAAACCCCGGCUAACUCCGUUGCCACCAGACCCCCGGUAAUACCGGAGGGGCG
rnacentral:rRNA from 1 species